AAAUUGAAGAGUUUGAUCAUGGCUCAGAUUGAACGCUGGCGGCAGGCCUAACACAUGCAAGUCGAACGGUAACAGGAAGCAGCUUGCUGCUUUGCUGACGAGUGGCGGACGGGUGAGUAAUGUCUGGGAAACUGCCUGAUGGAGGGGGAUAACUACUGGAAACGGUGGCUAAUACCGCAUAACGUCGCAAGACCAAAGAGGGGGACCUUCGGGCCUCUUGCCAUCAGAUGUGCCCAGAUGGGAUUAGCUAGUUGGUGAGGUAACGGCUCACCAAGGCGACGAUCCCUAGCUGGUCUGAGAGGAUGACCAGCCACACUGGAACUGAGACACGGUCCAGACUCCUACGGGAGGCAGCAGUGGGGAAUAUUGCACAAUGGGCGCAAGCCUGAUGCAGCCAUGCCGCG
rnacentral:rRNA from 1 species